rnacentral:rRNA from 1 species
GCGUCAUAGAGGGUGAGAAUCCCGUAUGUGACUGGUGACCAACCCCAUGUGAAACCCCUUCGACGAGUCGAGUUGUUUGGGAAUGCAGCUCAAAAUGGGUGGUAAAUUUCAUCUAAAGCUAAAUACCGGCCAGAGACCGAUAGCGCACAAGUAGAGUGAUCGAAAGAUGAAAAGCACUUUGGAAAGAGAGUCAAAAAGUACGUGAAAUUGUUGAAAGAGAAGCGCUUGCAACCAGACCUGUCCGCCGGCGAUCAACCCCCGUUCUUCGGGGGUGCACUCGUCGGCGACCAGGCCAGCAUCGGUUCGGGCGGUCGGAUAAAGGCCCUGGGAAUGUAGCUCCUCUUGGGGAGUCUUAUAGCCCUCGGUGCAAUGCGGCCAGCUGGGACCGAGGACCGCGCUUCGGCUAGGAUGCUGGCGUAAUGGUUGUAAGCGACCCGUCUUGAAACACGGACCAAGGAGUCUAACAUCUAUGCAAGUGUUUGGGUGUCAAGCCCAUACGCGUAAUGAAAGUGAACGGAGGUGAGAACCCUUCAGGGCGCAUCAUCGACCGAUCCAGAUGUCUUCGGAUGGAUUUGAGUACGAGCAUAGCUGUUGGGACCCGAAAGAUGGUGAACUAUGCCUGAAUAGGGUGAAGCCAGAGGAAACUCUGGUGGAGGCUCGCAGCGGU